rnacentral:rRNA from 1 species
AGGGCACCACCAGGAGUGGAGCCUGCGGCUUAAUUUGACUCAACACGGGGAAACUCACCCGGCCCGGACACUGGAAGGAUUGACAGAUUGAGAGCUCUUUCUUGAUUCAGUGGGUGGUGGUGCAUGGCCGUUCUUAGUUGGUGGAGUGAUUUGUCUGGUUAAUUCCGAUAACGAACGAGACUCUAGCCUACUAAAUAGACCUCGGCAUUCUUUGUACUGUCGAGGCGCUUCUUAGAGGGACAGGCGGCGUUUCAGCCGCAUGAGAAAGAGCAAUAACAGGUCUGUGAUGCCCUUAGAUGUCCGGGGCCGCACGCGCGCUACACUGAAGAGAUCAGCGUGCAUGUGCUUCCUACUCCGAAAGGAGCGGGAAACCGAGUGAACCUUUUUCGUGCUUGGGAUUGGGGAUUGUAAUUAUUCUCCAUGAACGAGGUAUUCCCAGUAAGCACAAGUCAUCAGCUUGUGUUGAUUACGUCCCUGCCCUUUGUACACACCGCCCGUCGCUACUACCGAUUGGAUGUU